rnacentral:rRNA from 1 species
UGAAUACGAGAUGCUACGGCGUCGAAGCAAUCUAUGUCAUACUUCCAAGAAAAGCUCGCACUGUCAUAAACAAAUAAUGCCUGUACCAUAACCGACACAGGUGGGUAGGUAGAGUAUACUAAGGGGCGCGAGAUAACUCUCUCUAAGGAACUCGGCAAAAUGACUCCGUAACUUCGGGAGAAGGAGUGCCUUAUUUAUAAGGUUGCAAUAACAAGAUCCAAGCAACUGUUUAUCAAAAACACAGGUCUCCGCUAAGUCGUAAGACGAUGUAUGGGGGCUGACGCCUGCCCAGUGCCAGAAGGUUAAAGAAGUUGGUUAGCAUUCGCGAAGCUGAUAACUGAAGCCCUGGUGAACGGCGGCCGUAACGAUAACGGUCCUAAGGUAGCGAAAUUCCUUGUCGGGUAAGUUCCGACCCGCACGAAAGGCGUAAUGAUUUGGAUACUGUCUCGGAGAGGGGCUCGGUGAAAUAGACUUGUCUGUGAAGAUGCGGACUACCUGCACCAGGACAGAAAGACCCUAUGAAGCUUUACUGUAACUUGAGAUUGAAAUUGGACUUUACUUGCGCAGUAUAGGUGGGAGGCGUUGAUAAUAUUCUUGCGGGAUUAUUUGAGCCAUCAGUGAGAUACCACUCUUGUAAUGUUAGAUUUCUAACUUUGUAUCAUUAUCUGGUCAAAGGACAGUUUCAGGCGGGCAGUUUGACUGGGGCGGUCGCCUCCUAAACGGUAACGGAGGCGCACAAAGGUUUCCUCUGAACGGGUAGAAAUCGUAUCUAGAGUGUAAAGGCAUAAGGAAGCUUGACUGUGAGACCUACAAGUCGAGCAGGGACGAAAGUCGGUCUUAGUGAUCUGACGGCGCUGAGUGGAAAGGCCGUCACUCAACGGAUAAAAGUUACUCUAGGAUAACAGGCUGAUCUCCCCCAAGAGUUCACAUCGACGGGGAGGUUUGGCACCUGGAUGUCGGCUCAUCGCAUCCUGGGGCGGUAGUACGUCCCAAGGGUUGGGCUGUUCGCCCAUGAAAGCGGUACGCGAGCUGGGUUCAGAACGUCGUGAGACAGUUCGGUCCAUAUCCGGUGUAGGCGUUAGAAUAUUGAGAGGAGCCUUCUUUAGUACGAGAGGACCGAGAAGGACAUACCUCUGGUGUACCAGUUAUCGUGCCAACGGUAAACGCUGGGUAGCUAUGUAUGGAGUGGAUAACCGCUGAAAGCAUCUAAGUGGGAAGCCCACCUCAAGAUAAGUAUUCUC